rnacentral:tRNA from 1 species
GGGCGGGUGGUCUAGGGGUUAUGAUGCCGCGCUUACAACGCGGAGAAGCUUUAACCGCUCCGUAGGUCGAGGGUUCAAGACCCUCCCCGCCCA